AAUAUUGGGCAAUGGGCGCAAGCCUGACCCAGCGACGUCGCGUGAGGGAAGAAGGUCUUCGGAUUGUAAAACUCUCUGACAGGGGCCGAAGUAAGUGACGGUACCCUGAAAACAAGCCACGGCUAACUACGUGCCAGCAGCCGCGGUAAUACGUAGGUGGCGAGCGUUAUGCGGAAUUACGGGGUGUAAAGGGUGUGUAGGCGGGAUCGCAAGUCAGUGGUGAAACCCGUGGGCUCACCCCACGGCCUGCCAUUGAAACUGCGGUUCUUGAGAAUGGGAGAGGUAAACGGAAUUCCCGGUGUAGCGGUGAAAUGCGUAGAUAUCGGGAGGAACAUCGGUGGCGAAGGCGGCUACCUGGACUGAUACUGACACUGAGGUGCGAAAGCGUGGGGAGCAAACAGG
rnacentral:rRNA from 1 species